CAGAUGAACAGUCUUGACGGAUAUCGACCGCGCUUCUCUCUUCGUCCAGACUGACUUGCAGAAAAUCAUUUUAUGUGAGAGAUAUUCAAAGACGAGAGUGUUCUUCAACAUCACUUUCAGUCAAUGAUUCAAAAUGAGACUGGAAUACAAAACACCAAUAUUUUUGAGUUCAAAACUGUAUAACUGUACUGUGUUCACAGGCUCAUAUAUGUGUCAUAUGAUAGUACUAUGAUCUGUUAGCGCUAAAGCAGUUACACCGAAAUCAAAUGUUUGAACUGUUUUGUACUAUUUGAACUGUAGCUCAUUUCUAGUAUAAAGCGCAUUGAGAACAAUGACUGUAAAGCGAUAGUUGUUCCAGAUAUGCCAGGUCACUCUUUUCCAUGUGAUCACAGUGAGACUGGAGAUUUCCUAAAGCUUCAUGGUUUGGUUUGUAGACACAUUGUCUAGAUUUUAACUCCUGUGACUUCAGGCACUUUAUUCUGGUGUGCAGAAGAUGAUUCUUCUUCUUUAAACGUGUCUUUAGCGUACUCAUACUUUCUGUUUAGAAGGUUUUUUUUAUCUGAAGCAUCUAGUAACCGGUGUCAAGUGUCUCAUUCAGGUGCACAAUGAUCUACGUUCUUGCAGUUUCAUGGCUGAAUGAGUUUCUGUAUUAUUUUGGUUCUUUUCACUUUGUUAAUGGUUAUGAAAGUGUCCUUAUUCCUGAACAGCUCUUUGUUUUCAGUCAUUAUGAUGACUAUCCAAAUCUGUCCAAGUGUCUGUUGCUUAUAAAUAAUUU